rnacentral:rRNA from 1 species
GACGAACGCUGGCGGCGUGCUUAACACAUGCAAGUCGAACGGAUCAUCAGGAUUUCGGUUUUGGUGGUGAGUGGCGAACGGGUGAGUAACACGUGAGUAACCUGCCCCGGACUCUGGGAUAACGACUCGAAAGGGUUGCUAAUACCGGAUAUUGAAUCUCUGUCGUGUGGUGGGGGUUUGAAAGUUUUUUCGGUUCGGGAUGGGCUCGCGGCCUAUCAGCUUGAUGGUGGGGUGAUGGCCUACCAUGGCUUCGACGGGUAGCCGGCCUGAGAGGGCGACCGGCCACACUGGGACUGAGAUACGGCCCAGACUCCUACGGGAGGCAGCAGUGGGGAAUAUUGCACAAUGGGCGAAAGCCUGAUGCAGCAACGCCGCGUGCGGGAUGAAGGCCUUCGGUUGUAACCGCUUUCACCAGGGACGAAGUUGACGGUACCUGGAGAAGAAGCACCGGCUAACUACGUGCCAGCAGCCGCGGUAAAAUAGACGUACU